rnacentral:rRNA from 1 species
UAGGGAAUCUUCCGCAAUGGGCGAAAGCCUGACGGAGCAACGCCGCGUGAGUGAUGAAGGUCUUCGGAUCGUAAAACUCUGUUAUUAGGGAAGAACAAAUGUGUAAGUAACUAUGCACAUCUUGACGGUACCUAACCAGAAAGCCACGGCUAACUACGUGCCAGCAGCCGCGGUAAUACGUAGGUGGCAAGCGUUGUCCGGAUUUAUUGGGCGUAAAGCGAGCGCAGGCGGUCAAUUAAGUCUGAUGUGAAAGCCCCCGGCUCAACCGGGGAGGGUCAUUGGAAACUGGUUGACUUGAGUGCAGAAGAGGAGAGUGGAAUUCCAUGUGUAGCGGUGAAAUGCGUAGAUAUAUGGAGGAACACCAGUGGCGAAGGCGACUCUCUGGUCUGUAACUGACGCUGAGGCUCGAAAGCGUGGGUAGCAAACAGG